rnacentral:sRNA from 1 species
AAAAAUUCACAUUGUAUAUUGACUUUUGCCACUUUUGGCCACAGUCCUGAGACUGUGCACCGCGGCCCCUUAUCAUAGAGCCUAUCAUUUGGAUCAGAGAGCAGAUUAUUGAUAUGAGAGAAGUAUCCCCGAUGUUCCUUAGUGCAUUGGUAUUUUUGAAUGGCUUAUAUACAUUUUAAAAACAUGCCAACAUUCAUGUGAAAAUCACCACAAGACAAGCCAUUUUGUGGUAGUACAAAGCGAAAUUUAUAUUCGGAAGUAGACCGCCUCCUUUGCCUGGAUUGGCGCAAACUAGCAACACAAUGGCAAAAUUAAUAUACUAACCAUCAUAUGGAUAUAAAACAUUUAAGACUUAUUGCAUUAUAAUGUGGAUGUGAGCUGUAUAUACACACACACACAUACAACGGCGAUAUUCAAACUUGAUCCUUGUUGCUGCGCUGUUGCACAUAAUAGACGUUUUUGCAUAGCUGCUGAUGUUUGAACGAAUGUUGGCACACACGCCAUACACCAAAGACGAUGAUAUGUUAUCGCUGUCAUGGAUACGAUUUAAGUGAUUUAUGAGUGGCAAAAAUAUGAUUAAACCCCAGCGUAAUGGAAAGUACGUAGCCAGGAUCAAUAUUAUUGAAUGAAACUGAAUGUUUUGUCUAUACCAUCAAGUGUAGUAUUUACUGAAAAUAUUCAAUACAUAAAAUGGAGCUUUAUUUGCAAAGUGUUUUAAGCAAUUUCGCAAUUGAAUGUUGAUGGAAUAAACUCAGUGAUAAUGAAUAAAAUUUUACCAUGUGUAACAUAUGCUAAUGGCUGUCAUAUCCAUUACAUAGUUUAUUGGUGCUCAAAUUUCUGAUUAAA